UACACAUAUACUGAUAAAACAUUUAAAGUAAUGUUUAGUUUUGAUCAGUUCUCUGACUGCUGGGACUACCUGGCAAAUAAAUCUAGAAACAGAAUUUGUCCACAAUUAAAUAAUAAUUUCCACAACUUAGAAAAAUAUAAUUUUACUAAAUAAGGUUUAAAUUAAUUGAUUUAUGGAUAUAGGAUGGAGGAUCAUGGUUUCCAGACUCUGACAUGAUUAAAUCUGAAAGGACCCAAGCUACUACAGACCAGUAACAAGCGCUGCCCCGCAGCCAAACACAGAAGAGCACAGAAACACAAACUGCUGCCACAGCAGCAUUGGUGGCUCCCAAAACCUCCCUGCUUCCCUCACCUCUUACACAGCCUUGAUUUCCACCCAACCUGAGUCUCCCACCUGACCUCAUGCUGUAUUUAAGGCGCACUCCAGCCACAAGCACAGCUCCGCAGGGCUCGCGUGGAUGGCUCCUGGCCCCCACACAACGCUGCCUUGAGAGCCAACAGAUCAUCAAAGCCCCUAAUUUCCAGCUUGGAGGACCAUCAGUACUUGAGCUUCACCACAUGGAUUUUGACCUACUGCAUAGAUUGAAACAAGCAUCCAGAAACCUAUCAGUAAAUUGUGCAUGAAUGCACUCCCAUCAGCUUUGGACACUGGGAGAAGUGAGAGUCCUCCUGUACUACAGAAUGACAUACACACCUUGCUGGUUCUGCUUGGAGCUGGACCUAGUGCCCUACACGGUGCCUUGAACACAUAACUGAAAGGGAACAUGCAGACGUAACAGGCUGCUAUUGCAACCAUGGUGGAUUCUCCUACAAAACCAGCGAGAAGGGAU